ACCAGACUCCUACGGGAGGCAGCGGUGGGGGAUAUUGCACAAUGGGGGGAACCCUGAUGCAGCGACGCCGCGUGGGUGAAGGAGCGUUUCGGCGCGUAAAGCCCUAUCGGCAGGGAAGAAGGAGGACGGUACCUGACUAAGAAGCCCCGGCUAACUACGUGCCAGCAGCCGCGGCAAUACGUAGGGGGCAAGCGUUAUCCGGAUUUACUGGGUGUAAAGGGAGCGUAGACGGCGAUGCAAGCCAGGAGUGAAAGCCCGGGGCCCAACCCCGGGACUGCUCUUGGAACUGCGUGGCUAGAGUGCAGGAGGGGCAGGCGGAAUUCCUGGUGUAGCGGUGAAAUGCGUAGAUAUCAGGAGGAACACCGGUGGCGAAGGCGGCCUGCUGGACUGCAACUGACGUUGAGGCCCGAAAGCGUGGGGAGUAAACAGGAUUAGAUACCCCAGUA
rnacentral:rRNA from 1 species